rnacentral:rRNA from 1 species
AGAGUUUGAUCCUGGCUCAGGAUGAACGCUAGCUACAGGCUUAACACAUGCAAGUCGAGGGGCAUCAGGAAGAAAGCUUGCUUUCUUUGCUGGCGACCGGCGCACGGGUGAGUAACACGUAUCCAACCUGCCCUUUACUCGGGGAUAGCCUUUCGAAAGAAAGAUUAAUACCCGAUAGCAUAAUGAUUCCGCAUGGUUUCAUUAUUAAAGGAUUCCGGUAAAGGAUGGGGAUGCGUUCCAUUAGGUUGUUGGUGAGGUAACGGCCCACCAAGCCUUCGAUGGAUAGGGGUUCUGAGAGGAAGGUCCCCCACAUUGGAACUGAGACACGGUCCAAACUCCUACGGGAGGCAGCAGUGAGGAAUAUUGGUCAAUGGGCGCUAGCCUGAACCAGCCAAGUAGCGUGAAGGAUGAAGGCUCUAUGGGUCGUAAACUUCUUUUAUAUAAGAAUAAAGUGCAGUAUGUAUACUGUUUUGUAUGUAUUAUAUGAAUAAGGAUCGGCUAACUCCGUGCCAGCAGCCGCGGUAAUACGGAGGAUCCGAGCGUUAUCCGGAUUUAUUGGGUUUAAAGGGAGCGUAGGUGGACUGGUAAGUCAGUUGUGAAAGUUUGCGGCUCAACCGUAAAAUUGCAGUUGAUACUGUCAGUCUUGAGUACAGUAGAGGUGGGCGGAAUUCGUGGGGUAGCGGUGAAAUGCUUAGAUAUCACGAAGAACUCCGAUUGCGAAGGCAGCUCACUGGACUGCAACUGACACUGAUGCUCGAAAGUGUGGGUAUCAAACAGGAUUAGAUACCCUGGUAGUCCACACAGUAAACGAUGAAUACUCGCUGUUUGCGAUAUACAGUAAGCGGCCAAGCGAAAGCAUUAAGUAUUCCACCUGGGGAGUACGCCGGCAACGGUGAAACUCAAAGGAAUUGACGGGGGCCCGCACAAGCGGAGGAACAUGUGGUUUAAUUCGAUGAUACGCGAGGAACCUUACCCGGGCUUAAAUUGCAGUGGAAUGAUGUGGAAACAUGUCAGUGAGCAAUCACCGCUGUGAAGGUGCUGCAUGGUUGUCGUCAGCUCGUGCCGUGAGGUGUCGGCUUAAGUGCCAUAACGAGCGCAACCCUUAUCUUCAGUUACUAACAGGUCAUGCUGAGGACUCUGGAGAGACUGCCGUCGUAAGAUGUGAGGAAGGUGGGGAUGACGUCAAAUCAGCA